UAACCAUAUAGUAGGUCACUAACACAGCAAAUAAGUUCUUUCAUAAAGUCACAAACUAGGACUGAUAUUGACCUCUCAUUUAUCCACCAGAGCGUGAAAUGGGAGGAUUUCCCGGAUGACCAAAAUAAAGUUGUGGCGAAUAUGAAGAAUGAAACAGAGACACAUGAGACCAACAAGAACAGGACAGGAGGCAAGCCAAUGGAGAGUGAUUCAGCAUGGCAUGAAAAAUAACCUCACAUUCGAGCAGCUCUCCAUGCUGUGUCUGAAGAUUGUUA